rnacentral:tRNA from 1 species
GGGGUUGUGGCUCAGUGGUAGAGCGCUCGCCAGGCAUGUGUGAGGCACUGGGUUCAAUUCUCAGCACCACUU